CAGGGGAUGCAAGCGUUACUCGGAAUUACUGGGCGUAAAGCGUCUGCAGGCUUCUUUCCACGUCUGGUGUAAAAGCACGAAGCUCAACUCCGUGUACGUGCCGGAAACGAGAGAGAUAGAGUCAUUCAGAGGCAUCUGGAAUGUCGUGUGUAGGGGUAAAAUCCGUAGAUCCACGAUGGAACGCCAAAAGUGAAAACAGGGUGCUGGGAAUGUACUGACGCUCAGAGACGAAAGCGUGGGGAGCAAAGGGGAUUAGAUACCCCCGUAGUCCACGCCCUAAACGAUGUGUGCUCGGUGUAGGAGUUUUCAAUUGGCUCCUGUGCCUUAGCUAACGCGUUAAGCACACCGCCUGGGAAGUACGGCCGCAAGGCUA
rnacentral:rRNA from 1 species